UACGUAGGUGGCAAGCGUUAUUCGGAAUUACUAGGCGUAAAGGACAGGUAGGUGGUCAGGUAAGUUGAGAGUGAAAUCCCCGGUUAAGCCCGGGAGGGUCUUUCAAAACUACCUGGCUUGAGUGUAGGAGGGGGAAUCGGAAUUCCUGGUGUAGCGGUGAAAUGCGUAGAUAUCAGGAGGAACACCGAUGGCGAAAGCGGAUUCCUAUCCUAUUACUGACACUGAUCUGUGAAGGCGCGGGGAGC
rnacentral:rRNA from 1 species